UACGUAGGGUCCGAGCGUUGUCCGGAAUUACUGGGCGUAAAGAGCUCGUAGGUGGUUUGUCGCGUUGUCCGUGAAAACUCACAGCUCCACUGUGGGCGUGCGGGCGAUACGGGCAGACUGGAGUACUGCAGGGGAGACUGGAAUUCCUGGUGUAGCGGUGGAAUGCGCAGAUAUCAGGAGGAACACCGGUGGCGAAGGCGGGUCUCUGGGCAGUAACUGACGCUGAGGAGCGAAAGCGUGGGGAGCGAACAGG
rnacentral:rRNA from 1 species